UUAAUUAAAAAAUUUAUUAAUAAAAUUCUUAAAUAAUGUUAUUAAUGAUGAAAUAAUGAACUUACACAGACACA